AUUGAACGCUGGCGGCAUGCUUUACACAUGCAAGUCGAGCGGUAACAGGCCUUCGGGUGCUGACGAGUGGCGAACGGGUGAGUAAUGCAUCGGAACGUACCCAGAGGUGGGGGAUAACGCAGCGAAAGCUGUGCUAAUACCGCAUGUGAUCUGAGGAUGAAAGCGGGGGACCGAGCAGCAAUGUUUGGCCUCGCGCCUUUGGAGCGGCCGAUGUCGGAUUAGCUAGUUGGUGGGGUAAAGGCCUACCAAGGCGACGAUCCGUAGCUGGUCUGAGGGGACGACCAGCCACACUGGGACUGAGACACGGCCCAGACUCCUACGGGAGGCAGCAGUGGGGAAUUUUGGACAAUGGGCGCAAGCCUGAUCCAGCAAUGCCGCGUGCGGGAAGAAGGCCUUCGGGUUGUAAACCGCUUUUGGCAGGAACGAAACGGUGUCCGCUAAUACCGGGCGCUAAUGACGGUACCUGCAGAAUAAGCACCGGCUAACUACGUG
rnacentral:rRNA from 1 species